rnacentral:rRNA from 1 species
UACAGAGGUCUCAAGCGUUGUUCGGAUUCAUUGGGCGUAAGGGGUGCGUAGGUGGCGUCGUAAGUCAGGUGUGAAAUUUCGGAGCUUAACUCCGAAACUGCAUUUGAUACUGCGGUGCUUGAGGACUGGAGAGGAGACUGGAAUUUACGGUGUAGCAGUGAAAUGCGUAGAGAUCGUAAGGAAGACCAGUGGCGAAGGCGGGUCUCCUGGACAGUUCCUGACAGCUGAGGCACGGAAGGCCAGGGAGCAAACGGG